CCUGGGUUGGAUUUCAUAUUCGUAAAAGGUCGGAUAAGUAUUUUAGACUUUGCAGACAGAAUGCUCUCUGUGGCAGUUACUCAGGUCUGCCAUUGGAUUAUGAAAGCAGCCAUGGACAAUACAUAAACAACUGCUCUCCCUUUCACACAGAGAAGAGGAGCUGAAAGAGGCAAAGCAGAGAGAUGUGUUUUGCUGUUAACCCACACAGAAGCAAGUGAUGAAAGACUGCUGGCUCUGCCCCUUCUCUAGGUCAUCUUGGAUAAGCCAGAUGUCGGUCCUCCGGUCCUCCAGAAGAAGUCAGAGGGAAAACCCCAGGCUCUGCAAAAUUCUCAAAAGCCACUUCUCUCUGAUUACCCUGAGAAAACAACCUGGGAGCCCACCAAUGGACUUAUCUAACAUACUCCCUUUAGGAUAAUGAAGGACUCAACAGGAACACCUCCAUGAGAGUGGCUUCUCCAUGGGAUGCCCUCCACCUAAACCAUGGUUUCCACCUAAACCUCCUCUCCUGCUUGCACCCCGAGCUACGUUACAAUGAGCAUUACAUUGCUUGCGCCUCAUUACAA